rnacentral:tRNA from 1 species
GCCAGGAUGACAGAGUGGCCAUGUGGCCGGCUGCAGACCGGCAUAGAGGGGUUCGAUUCCCCUUCCUGGCU